rnacentral:rRNA from 1 species
UAGGGAAUAUUGGACAAUGGGGGCAACCCUGAUCCAGCAACGCCGCGUGAAUGAUGAAGGCCUUAGGGUUGUAAAAUUCUUUCGCUAGGGAAGAUAAUGACUGUACCUAGUAAAGAAGCCCCGGCUAACUCCGUGCCAGCAGCCGCGGUAAUACGGAGGGGGCUAGCGUUGUUCGGAAUUACUGGGCGUAAAGCGUGCGUAGGCGGACUAUUAAGUUAGGGGUGAAAUCCCGAGGCUCAACCUCGGAACUGCCUCUAAAACUGGUAGUCUUGAGUUCUGGAGAGGUAAGUGGAAUUCCUAGUGUAGAGGUGAAAUUCGUAGAUAUUAGGAGGAACACCAGAGGCGAAGGCGGCUUACUGGACAGAUACUGACGCUGAGGCACGAAAGUGUGGGGAGCAAACAGGAUUAGAUACCCCCGUAGUCC